rnacentral:rRNA from 1 species
UACGUAGGGGGGCAAGCGUUGUCCGGAAUCAUUGGGCGUAAAGCGCGUGUAGGCGGCCAGAAAAGUCCGCUGUGAAAACUCGAGGCUCAACUUCGAGCUGUCGGUGGAAACUUUCUGGCUAGAGUCCGGAAGAGGAGAAUGGAAUUCCUGGUGUAGCGGUGAAAUGCGCAGAUAUCAGGAAGAACACCCGUGGCGAAGGCGGUUCUCUGGGACGGUACUGACGCUGGAGACGCGAAAGCGUCGGGGAGCGAACAGG